CCAGACUCCUACGGGAGGCAGCAGUGGGGAAUAUUGGGCAAUGGCCGCAAGUCUGACCCAGCAACGCCGCGUGAAGGAAGAAGGCUUUCGGGUUGUAAACUUCUUUUAAGGGGGAAGAGCAGAAGACGGUACCCCUUGAAUAAGCCACGGCUAACUACGUGCCAGCAGCCGCGGUAAUACGUAGGUGGCAAGCGUUGUCCGGAUUUACUGGGUGUAAAGGGCGUGCAGCCGGAGAGGCAAGUCAGAUGUGAAAUCCGCGGGCUCAACUCGCGAACUGCAUUUGAAACUGCUUCCCUUGAGUAUCGGAGAGGUAAUCGGAAUUCCUAGUGUAGCGGUGAAAUGCGUAGAUAUUAGGAGGAACACCAGUGGCGAAGGCGGCCUGCUGGGCUCUAACUGACGCUGAGGCUCGAAAGCGUGGGUAGCAAACAGGAUUAGAUACCCUCGUA
rnacentral:rRNA from 1 species